AAGAGUUUGAAACACAAACCGUUUUUGGCCUCUUGUUUCUGCAGGAUUGGACAAAAGGAUUUUGGGUUUUGACUUUUUGAUCAGUCUUGUUGAAAAGGAGGUUACGUGAUGGAAGGUACAGUAAAAUGGUUUAACGCCGAGAAAGGCUUUGGUUUUAUCGAAACUAGCAACGGCAGCGACGUGUUUGUUCAUUUUUCAGCUAUUCAGAACGAGGGAUUUAAAACUCUUGAAGAAGGCGAAAAGGUUUUCUUCGAUAUCGUUCAGGGUAAUCGUGGGCCGCAGGCUGCCAACGUUGUCCGCAAGUAAUUCGGAGAUACGUCAGGGGGUGUUCUCAAAGAGAACACCCCUUCA
rnacentral:sRNA from 1 species